GACGAACGCUGGCGGCGUGCUUAACACAUGCAAGUCGAACGGUGAAGCGCCUUCCUUUUUGGUGGGUGUGGAUGAGUGGCGAACGGGUGAGUAACACGUUAGUAACCUGCCCCCUUCUUCUGGAUAACCGCAUGAAAGUGUGGCUAAUACGGGCUAUUCUGGGUCUGUCGCAUGAUGGGUCUGGGAAAGGUAUUGUUUCGGUGGGGGAUGGGCUCGCGGCCUAUCAGCGUGUUGGUGGGGUGAUGGCCUACCAAGGCGGUGACGGGUAGCCGGCCUGAGAGGGUGGAGGGCCACACAGGGACAGAGACACGGCGCAGACUCCUAUGGGAGGCAGAAGUGGGGAAUAUUGCACAAUGGGGGCAAGCCUGAUGCAGCGACGCCGCGUGAGGGAUGGAGGCCUGCGGGUUGUGAACCUCUUUCGCCAGUGAAGCAGGCCUGCCUCGUUUGUGGGUGGGUUGACGGUAGCUGGAGAAGAAGCGCCGGCUAACUACGUG
rnacentral:rRNA from 1 species